CAGAGAAUAGUUUAAUUUAGAAUACUAGCUUUGGGAGCUGGAGGUAGAGGUUUGAGUCCUUUUUCUCUGA
rnacentral:tRNA from 1 species